UUUAUUAUAAGUAUAAUCUGCUCAGUGAAUUUUAAAUAGCCGCAGAUUCCCUGUGUUAAGGUAGCAUAAUCAUUUACCUUUUAAUUAAAGGUUUGUAUGAAAGAUUGAACAAUUAAAAAUUUUUUUUAUUAAUUUUUAUUAAAUCUAAAUUAAAAAUAAAAAUGUUUUUAUUCAAAAAAUAGACGAUAAGACCCUAUUGAACUUUACUUUAGUUUAGCUGGGGAAGCUAAUUAAAUAUAAUUUUAAUAACCUGUAUAAAGUAUAUUUCUAAUUAAAUUAUAUUAAAUAAGUUACCAUAGGGAUAACAGCGUAAUAAAAUUUCAAAGAUCAUAUUUAAAAUUAAGUUUACGACCUCGAUGUUGAAUUAGAAUAGCUUAAAGAUGCAGUAAUCUUCAGAGUAGGUCUGU
rnacentral:rRNA from 1 species